rnacentral:rRNA from 1 species
GCUCAGGACGAACGCUGGCGGCGUGCUUAACACAUGCAAGUCGAACGCUGAAGCUCCAGCUUGCUGGGGUGGAUGAGUGGCGAACGGGUGAGUAAUACGUGAGUAACCUGCCCUUGACUCUGGGAUAAGCCUGGGAAACCGGGUCUAAUACUGGAUACGACGUCCUACCGCAUGGUGGGGCGUGGAAAGGGUUUUACUGGUUUUGGAUGGGCUCACGGCCUAUCAGCUUGUUGGUGGGGUAAUGGCCUACCAAGGCGACGACGGGUAGCCGGCCUGAGAGGGUGACCGGCCACACUGGGACUGAGACACGGCCCAGACUCCUACGGGAGGCAGCAGUGGGGAAUAUUGCACAAUGGGCGCAAGCCUGAUGCAGCGACGCCGCGUGAGGGAUGACGGCCUUCGGGUUGUAAACCUCUUUCAGCAGGGAAGAAGCCACAAGUGACGGUACCUGCAGAAGAAGCGCCGGCUAACUACGUGCCAGCAGCCGCGGUAAUACGUAGGGCGCAAGCGUUGUCCGGAAUUAUUGGGCGUAAAGAGCUCGUAGGCGGUUUGUCGCGUCUGCUGUGAAAGCCCGGGGCUCAACCCCGGGUCUGCAGUGGGUACGGGCAGACUAGAGUGCAGUAGGGGAGACUGGAAUUCCUGGUGUAGCGGUGAAAUGCGCAGAUAUCAGGAGGAACACCGAUGGCGAAGGCAGGUCUCUGGGCUGUUACUGACGCUGAGGAGCGAAAGCAUGGGGAGCGAACAGGAUUAGAUACCCUGGUAGUCCAUGCCGUAAACGUUGGGCACUAGGUGUGGGGGACAUUCCACGUUCUCCGCGCCGUAGCUAACGCAUUAAGUGCCCCGCC